rnacentral:tRNA from 1 species
GCGAAGGUGGCGGAAUUGGUAGACGCGCUAGCUUCAGGUGUUAGUGUUCUAACGGACGUGAGGGUUCAAGUCCCUCUCUUCGCA